rnacentral:tRNA from 1 species
GGGGUCAUGGCGGAAUAGGCAGACGCAACGGACUUAAAAUCCGUUGGGAGAUAAUCCCGUGAGGGUUCAAGUCCCUCUGACCCCACCA